rnacentral:rRNA from 1 species
UAGGGAAUCUUCCACAAUGGGCGAAAGCCUGAUGGAGCAACGCCGCGUGUGUGAUGAAGGGUUUCGGCUCGUAAAACACUGUUGUAAGAGAAGAAUGACAUUGAGAGCAACUGUUCAAUGUGUGACGGUAUCUUACCAGAAAGGAACGGCUAAAUACGUGCCAC